AGAUUAAGUUAUUAAGGGCGCACGGUGGAUGCCUUGGCACUAGAAGCCGAUGAAGGACGUUACUAACGACGAUAUGCUUUGGGGAGCUGUAAGUAAGCUUUGAUCCAGAGAUUUCCGAAUGGGGAAACCCAGCAUGAGUUAUGUCAUGUUAUCGAUAUGUGAAUACAUAGCAUAUCAGAAGGCACACCCGGAGAACUGAAACAUCUUAGUACCCGGAGGAAGAGAAAGAAAAUUCGAUUCCCUUAGUAGCGGCGAGCGAAACGGGAAGAGCCCAAACCAACAAGCUUGCUUGUUGGGGUUGUAGGACACUCUAUACGGAGUU
rnacentral:rRNA from 1 species